CAGCGAUGAACGAAUGAUCCAGGUGGCCACAAAGCCAACAUCUAUCUGUUCUUACUAAUGUGUGUCUACUUAUGGAGAGUUGUUGAAGUUGUGUGUGACAGCUGCCCUUCGUUCAAGAUAAAGGUGGGGAGACUGAGGUACAGAAUUGCCUAUGGUCACACAAGAAGACUGGAAGAGCUGUGAAUAGAAUGCCAGAGUCCAGACUCCCAUUCAGAAGACCCUACUCCUCUUGCAAAAGAGACAGCUACAUAAAUAAAUAAGAAGAGAUAAAUAGUGGAAACCAGGAAAUCCAUAGAUUUAUAUGGAGCUUUCAAUUAAACAGCACUUUCCUGCUGAUGAAGUCAGAAGAGCAAGAAAAUAGGGGGAAAGGAAAAAUUGAAGGAGAAAGAAAAUGUAGGAAGACAUGGAAGAGAAAAGGGUGCAGGGGAACAAACUCAGCAGAAAGGAAAUAGGCCGUGCUGCUGUGGGAACCCUCCAUUAAACAAAGAAUAACAAAGAAGAGACUCAGGUUCUGCUAGAUACAUCUUGCCACAGACUUUAAGAGGAAAGAUUUUUAAUUGCUCCUGAGGGAUGUCUAUGAAGAACCAGCAACAGUGCACAAAAGCAACAGGGGAAACUCUUUAGACACAAAUCAAUGUCAAAUGCACAAUGCAAGAGAACCUCAGGAUUUUACUGUUUUUUAUCCAUGAUUUGGCAAUCCAAAGCUGCUUCAUCAUCAUGGCAAAUCUCAAAGUGACGUGGCCUCCUUGCAGACUGAGCGCCACCUGGAUCCAUUGCUGACUAUGUCCGUAAGAUAGUCUGGCUGGAUAUUCAGUUUCUUACCAUCACUGGCAAUCUUAUUGUGCCACCAAAGCUUUAGCACCAUGUGAUCGCCAGCCAUGUACAAGCAUCGUUGGUACACAUGCUUCAGAAUCUGUUGGUCUUCCCGUAAUACAACCAUAUCAAGAAAACUGCCAAAACCAAACCAGUGCUGAUGGAGGUGAUUGCCUGGUUCAGCUUUGAAUAUUACCUGCUUUUCGAGGAAAAUGGGUUUAGCUAUUUCAGUUAAUAUUUGAAUGUUCCAUACACUAAUUCUACAUUUGCCACCAAUGCACAGGAUACUGGAAAUGCCCUUUUGCACGGUUUCACUGGUCAUUUUUUGCCUCAGCAGCAGAGAAACUUGUGGCCAUUCUAACUACAAGGACAACUGACCAGAUUGUUGCAGACGGUCAGCUUCAGCAUAGAUACCGUGACGUGAAAAUACUGACCUUUGAGGGACAAAGUUCUUAGUGAACAAUAUAUACAAUUUCCCCAAAGUAUUGGUGUCUGUCACUGUUUUCUCUAGAGUUUAUGUUCUUCAAUCCAUGUGCUCAGGUCAGUUUUUAAAUCCAUUAACACCCCGUCUACAGAUUUCUGAGAUCUGACACUUGUCUGAACUACCAUGAUUUACUGGGUUGAAGUCAGCAGACUGGAUUGCCUUUCUCAGUACUCAUAUCAGCUUGAAAAUGGAAUCCUGAGUAUUAGGUAGCAUAUUUCCAGAUCCUCGCAUACUGGGAGAGUGGGCUACUCCACACUGGGAUUGAUGCCAAGUGAAGGUAAAAGCAGGAUGAAUCAAACAAGUCUUGCUGAUCUUAAACUGGCAUAUGCUGAUGAAAAGCAAAGAAAAGGCUUUGCUGUAGUGAAGCCUGUAGCUGGCAUCAUACUCUUUGGUACAUAUAUAUGCCAACAUUUAGUUCUGUGAAGAGUAGCCAAAUGCAACUGAGAAAAAAAAUCCAACCAAAACAAUAGACUUGCAAGAAUUUAUGGUUGGUUAACUCUAUCUGUCAUUGUAAUGUUUCUAUAUUUAUAGAUAAAAUGCAUAAUUGCUGUCACAUGCAUAAUGUACAAUAGGUAUGAAAUAUUCAAUAUGUCUAUUCUUUCUUGGAGUAUGAAUUACUUUGUAUUUCAUCAUGAUAGAAAAUUGCUCACUUGAACCAAAGCUUGCACACUAUUAAGGAGCUGAUAGUUUACUUCAACAAGCUUCUUCUGUCUUUCAUUACUUUGGCAAUCACUGCCAGUCACAGUUAAAGUUUGCAAACCCAGCACUCAGAUCUUGAAAGUUCCAAGAAAGAGAGAAGAUCCGUGCCCAAAGGUGAGAAGUGCCUUUAAUUUUGUAUAUUCUCUUUUGGAGCAAACAGGUUCAAAGUAGAAUGGUGCCACUUUUUUCAUAAAUAACAGCCUGAUUUAAAGAUUCUUCCUCUUGUAAAUUGUAGUACUGUAUUUUCAAAAGGUGUUUGCAACACUUUCCUUUCCUAGAACCUGAAAAGCCAGGAAUGCCAAACUCUCCCAACAUAGAAAGGAAAAGCAGGCCCAAAUUAGUAUUAAGUGGAUACAGCAUCUCUGAAAUGGGGUAACUAAUUCUGGCAACCAUGAGACCUUUGAGACAAAAAUAUACUCUCACGGGCUGUGGGUGCUUUCAUCUGAUCCCUCAGAAACUCUACUCAUUGGAUGGCUUUUGAGCUUGUCAGACUGCAAAAUGAGCACACGCAAUCUUGACCUGUAGAGGCUAAUGCUAGAGAUGAGUGGUACAUCUGUCAUUAUGUCCAUUGAUUUCUCGGCCUCUGCACAGGCUGCCAACAAAAAUGCCAUGGAACUGAGCUAACCCCACAACUAAGAUGGGCCAUAACUGAAGAGUAACCUGGAGGGGAAAGGCUCUGUACUGCAUUGUUCAUCCCCUAAGAUACCCAGUUUCCUAAAUACAACAAAAACAAUAAUAGGAUAAAUAUAGAAAUUGCUGGUCAUGUAAAUUGCUUUUUCUGUAACUGGUCUCUUUUGUCAAGUUAGCCUCUGUGUGAAAUCUGUCUGGAAUGCUAAGCCACAAAAUUCCAGUUUUGGAGUUGGUAAAAGCAUGUUUCUAAAUUCACCUACAUCCCAAGCAAUAAGCACAUGCUAAACGCAGUGGUUAUAAGUAAGUGCUAGUUCUUAUAUAGUGUUUUUUCAUCAGUAGAUCUCAAAGCACUUCACACUCUCCCAUAAAAAAGAUCAGAAUAUUGAUUCCCAUUUAAUAAAUGGGGAAACGGAGGCACAGGGUAGUAAAGUGACUUGCUCAACAUCUCCUAGUAGCAUAGUUAGGACCAGAACCCAGGUCUCACGAACACCAGUUAGGUGCACUAGUCAGUAGGCCACACGCAGUAGGAUGUCAUUUGACGAAAGUCACCAUUUUGAUCCGUAAAUUGCUCAGUAAUGACAGAGUUUUAAAAAAUCAUUGCAUUAAUUCUUGGUACUGUAUACUACUAGAGAGGGUAAAUAGUGCUGUACACAUAUCUGAUUUAUACAGUGGUCACCAAUAAAACUCUGCAUUUACCAAGAGUUUUCACACUACAGCAUUAGAUAUACAGUGGCAUCUGAGAUAAUAUACUGCAGUAACUGCUGGAAAAUACUGAUUUUUAAUGCUAAUGUCUGUAUGAUAUUUUUUCAAAUAAAAUAAGGAGAUUUUCUGUA